GAGCAAACGCGUUAAGCGUGCCGCCUGGGAAGUACGGUCGCAAGACUAAAACUCAAAGAAAUUGACGGGGACCCGCACAAGCGGUGGAGUAUGUGGCUUAAUUCGAUGCAACGCGAAGAACCUUACCUAGGCUUGACAUGCAUUUCUAAGUCGGUGAAAGCCGAUGACUCUUCGGAGGACUUGCACAGGUGCUGCAUGGCCGUCGUCAGCUCGUGUCGUGAGAUGUUGGGUUAAGUCCCGCAACGAGCGCAACCCCUGUGAUUAGUUACCAGCGCGUUAUGGCGGGGACUCUAAUCAGACUGCCCAGAUCAACUGGGAGGAAGGUGGGGACGACGUCAGGUCAGUAUGGCCCUUACGCCUAGGGCUGCACACGUACUACAAUGCCCAGCACAAUGAGAACCGAGACCGCGAGGUGGAGGAAAUCUACAAAACUGGGCUCAGUUCGGAUUGGAGGCUGCAACUCGCCUCCAUGAAGCUGGAAUCGCUAGUAAUGGCACAUCAGCUACGGUGCCGUGAAUACGUUCCCGGGUCUUGUACACACCGCCCGUCACAUCAUGGAAGUCGGUCGCACCCGAAGUGCCUGCGCCAACCGCAAGGAGGCAGGGCCCUAAGGUGUAGCUGGUAACUGGGAUGAAGUCGUAACAAGGUAACCAAU
rnacentral:rRNA from 1 species